rnacentral:lncRNA from 1 species
AGCAACUGCCCUUCAAUAGAAGUUGUGGAUUUGUUUUCCCAGGGUCCUCGAGGCCCAACUGGACAGAAGGGACUCCAGGGACCUCUGGGUCGGCCUGGAGAUGGAGGGCCUGUGGGGCUACAGGGCCCACCAGGCCCUCCAGGUGUCCCAGGUACUGAAGGGGCACCUGGAAAACCUGGACCCAGGGGAAGCAUUGGGCCUUCAGGACAUCAGGGGCUACAAGGUCCAGUGGGAAUCCCAGUAAGUGUGUACCUGCUAUUGGCUGCAGUUUUUACUGUAUUUUUAUUUUUUAAGCGUACCACCACUUUAUUGAUUUAUAAUAACAUACAGUAAGAACCAAACACCUAGGUUUGUUGGUUCUGUUCAGGGUCCACAGGGUGAGGAUGGAUUACCGGGAGCAUCAGGGGAACAAGGCCCAAAGGUAAAAAUGCAUGUAAGAAUCAUGUAAUAGAUUGUGAUUAGAUAUGUAAAAGAAAACGUUUUGAUAAAAUGUAUUUUAUGAUACAUAAUAUAUUUACUGUAAUGAUUAGGGUUUACUUGGUUCACCUGGAGAUGCUGGCCCCCCAGGACAAGUUGGACAACAGGUGGGUCAUUUGUUGUUAAAAACUGUGUUCUUUUCCAUCUAUUAGCUGUCAUUUGAAACGAGAUAAAAAAAUAUUAAAUACUGUCUGCAAUUUAUUAACUCAGUGUGGUGUGAUUUUGUAAUUAUUGUAAUGUUUUUUUUAAUUAGGGUCUACCUGGUCAAACCGGAAUUGUGGGCCCACCUGGACGGAAAGCAGACCAGGCCUGUGAUCAAUCUAUUACAAUCUUAAGUCUUUAUUAUACUGUUACACUAGCAGCCUAAUCACAGUGAAUGCUUCCAAAAGCCCUCUUAAGCAAAGUGCAAAUCCUAUUUAUUUUCACACAUCUAAUACAGUAUGUCUUCUACUUCCGCCUCUCGAGGAGUGCAGACGUGUUUUCUCUCUGCUCCUACUCUGCUUUUGCUUGCAGUGUCCUUGUCUUUUUCUGAGCACCCUGAUCUGCUAUU